rnacentral:rRNA from 1 species
CGGACGGGUGAGUAACACGUGGAUAACCUACCUAUAAGACUGGGAUAACUUCGGGAAACCGGAGCUAAUACCGGAUAAUAUAUUGAACCGCAUGGUUCAAUAGUGAAAGACGGUUUUGCUGUCACUUAUAGAUGGAUCCGCGCCGCAUUAGCUAGUUGGUAAGGUAACGGCUUACCAAGGCAACGAUGCGCAGCCGACCUGAGAGGGUGAUCGGCCACACUGGAACUGAGACACGGUCCAG